rnacentral:lncRNA from 1 species
UCAUCCUUCUUUCUGUCCACCAGCAGCUACGUAUUAUGAUCUCGCAGUGCUUCUGCCACUCAACAGGUCGUGUCCUCACUUCUUUUGGACUUUUGUACAGGGAAUAUGCAGUGGCACGUUCCAGAGAUGUGCAUUCUUCUUUGUAACACGUCUCCUUUGAAGCAGGAAGAAGAUCUUUUAAACAUCUAUUAAAUUGCCUUCACUGUUUCUACUUUGUCUGAAAUGAAGAAAAUUAUCCAAGCG